rnacentral:lncRNA from 1 species
UGUACUUUAUGAGUGUUUGUCACAAUAACCUGAUUAGUAAUCCAUAUGUCACAUUUAUGAAAGUGGAUCCAUCUAUUUGCACACUUUUUAUUCUUCCUACCCCAUUUGUUCCCAUCAAUGACAGAAACAAAAUAGUAUUUUAUCUUCAUUUCCCAUCAUGAAGAAAUAUACAAAACAUAGAAAGGUAGUUUGAUUGAAUCAACAAAUUAGAUGAACGUUGCAACAAAUAACUCAUUUUUUAGAAUAUAUCAAACAGACAAGUAAGUUGUUGCAGCAGAUUACUUAUCUGUUGGAAAUAAAUCAAAACAAGUCUUGCUAGUUGUUUGAUUUAAUCUAACAGAUCACUAACAUAUUGCAACAUAUAGAUCAUAUGUUGGAAGAAGUCAAGGAAAACGGUUAUUAAUUUAAUAAGUAAAUAGUUAUUGGAAAGGUAAAAAGUCAUGAUUGUUCACCUUUUUUGCAUUUAAAUCUAUUUUUUAAUUUAAAUAGUCAAAAAUUCACCAAUUUUAUUUAAUUAAAGGAUGUAAUUAUUAAAAAAAAAAAAAGGUGAACAAUCUUGGCUUUUUGACUAACACAUUCAAGCUCAAUCCUCUAUAAAUAGGUCCCUCCUUACUCGUUUAGUCUACUCCACUUUAUUUAUUUCUUACACCUUGUCUUUUAUAAAAACACUAUUAUAUCUUCAACCAAUUCUCUUCAAAGAGAAGAUUCCUUUUUCGUCCAUUGAGAUAUGUUUUUUUACUUUUUGUAAAACUGUUGGACUUUUUUCUUUCUUUAGUUUUAUAUGUUUUUUUGUUAAUGCAUGUGUGUUCUAGAUAUAGCUGAUCUGGGUUGGCACAUGGUGAUUCUACGUGACACAAAGCAGAAACUUAAAAGGCAGAUUCCUGAACUCUAGUGGGAGUUGGGCGCCAUGAGAGCAAGGCUACUUUAUGAGAUUUGAAGGCUGAGGAGGGCCUUGCUACUGUCGGUUGACCAUUGGCUGGUUGAUAGUAAUAAUAAUAAUAAUAAUAAUUAGGUUAUGUUACAAC